AGGUAAAUGGCGUAAAGGAGCGUGUGCGAUUUCGGCUCGUAAGGUACUAAAUUGUUUUACCUU
rnacentral:tRNA from 1 species